rnacentral:tRNA from 1 species
GGCCCCGUCGUCUAGUGGCCUAGGACGCAGCCCUCUCAAGGCUGAGAUCGCGGGUUCGAACCCCGCCGGGGUCACCA